GGUCUUAAGCUAAGACUCCUAUGUAAAAGGCCCAGUUAUGUAAAUAAAGGUCUCCUUUAAUUCAAGAAACUGUAUCCCUAAUAAAUAUAUACAGUUUGCUUGCUUUAUUCAUAUUUCAGAAAUGCUGAAAUAAUUACAUUUCUUUUAGUUUUGCAUUUGUCUCAAAAGAGAAUUGAGUUUGUUUCAUAAUGUAUAGUUUUCCAGUAUGGAAGCUUGUUUUCACCAUGGAAUAAAAAAGAAGAUUUUUUUCCCCUUCCUAAUUUUGAGAUUUAAUCUUGCAAUUCUAAGAAAGUCAGAUUUGAUUAAUAGGUUGCAGUUGUGGAAGAGCGAGCUGGGGAUGGAGAGAGACAUGAUGGAGAUGGAUGCGUGUUAACACCAGAACACCAAGAAUCCUCAGCAGAGAACCUAAAUGAGAGUUCCAAUAAUGGGUUAGAAGAUCCCCUUUGCGAAAGUCCAGCACAACCCAGCCAAACUAUGGAAGUUACUUCAUGUGAUGAGCAUAUCAGCGAUGCCGAUAGAAUAUAUCGGGAAUGCCAGCAGAGCGGACCACUUCGUUUUUUUGAAUGUGUCCCUCCAGCUGGCAUGAACCAUUGUCUAAA